rnacentral:piRNA from 1 species
ACUCAGGUUUUCAUACUUAGCCACAGACAC